rnacentral:lncRNA from 1 species
ACCUGUGGCGCUCUGGGGACGAGGCACCUGGCCUCUUCUUCGUGGACGCCGAGCGCGUGCCCUGCCGCCACGACGACGUCUUCUUUCCGCCUAGUGCCUCCUUCCGCGUGGGGCUCGGCCCUGGCGCUAGCCCCACGUUCACGCGCGACGAGGACCUGGCUGUUUUCCUGGCGUCCCGCGCGGGCCGCCUACGCUUCCACGGGCCGGGCGCGCUGAGCGUGGGCCCCGAGGACUGCGCGGACCCGUCGGGCUGCGUCUGCGGCAACGCGGAGGCGCAGCCGUGGAUCUGCGCGGCCCUGCUCCAGCCCCUGGGCGGCCGCUGCCCCCAGGCCGCCUGCCACAGCGCCCUCCGGCCCCAGGGGCAGUGCUGUGACCUCUGUGGAGCCGUUGUGUUGCUGACCCACGGCCCCGCAUUUGACCUGGAGCGGUACCGGGCGCGGAUACUGGACACCUUCCUGGGUCUGGUAAUGGGGCCGCGCGGGCAGCUGAGGGGAGUCCCGACCCCAGCCCUACCGCCUCCGCCUAGGACGCCCCUUCUGCAGGGUCCCUGCGGCUGCUCACUUGCCCACUAUCUGCCUCUGCCCUUAGCGUCCCCAUAGGCUCGGGGAGGGCGGGGGGCUGAGUCAAACCAACCCCGUCCCCCUCCCCAGCCUCAGUACCACGGGCUGCAGGUGGCCGUGUCCAAGGUGCCACGCUCGUCCCGGCUCCGUGAGGCCGAUACGGAGAUCCAGGUGGUGCUGGUGGAGAAUGGGCCCGAGACAGGCGGAGCGGGGCGGCUGGCCCGGGCCCUCCUGGCGGACGUCGCCGAGAACGG